GAGUCUUGCUGUUGAAAAUCCUUGAUGAAUUUCUGAAGUAUAACUAAACGAUUUUUUAAAAAUUUACAAUAAAAUUGUAAUUCAAGAAUUACUAUUGUUUCAUAUAUUAAAGAAAAUGUGUUGUACGUUAAGGAAUGCAUAGCAUGAUAUGGAGAUGCAGACAAGUUUGUUUGCGGAGUUGUUGACUGCAACACAACUUUUAACAGAUGGUCAGGAUUUACAAUUGUAAGACCUAUUUAUCUACCUCAAAAUGAACCUGUUGUACAUUUUUUAAGAAAAAGAAUCUUUUUCAGUGUAAUCUUUGCUAUUUCAUUGUCAUCUAUGUUAAUUUUUCAUGUAUCUGAUGAAAUAAAUCUGUAAAGUAG
rnacentral:sRNA from 1 species